GACGAACGCUGGCGGCGUGCUUAACACAUGCAAGUCGAACGGAAAGGCCCUGCUUUUGUGGGGUGCUCGAGUGGCGAACGGGUGAGUAACACGUGAGUAACCUGCCCUUGACUUUGGGAUAGCUUCAGGAAACUGGGGCUAAUACCGGAUAGGAGCUCCUGCUGCAUGGUGGGGGUUGGAAAGUUUCGGCGGUUGGGGAUGGACUCGCGGCUUAUCAGCUUGUUGGUGGGGUAGUGGCUUACCAAGGCUUUGACGGGUAGCCGGCCUGGGAGGGUGACCGGCCACAUUGGGACUGAGAUACGGCCCAGACUCCUACGGGAGGCAGCAGUGGGGAAUAUUGCACAAUGGGCGGAAGCCUGAUGCAGCAACGCCGCGUGCGGGAUGACGGCCUUCGGGUUGUAAACCGCUUUCGCCUGUGACGAAGCGUGAGUGACGGUAAUGGGUAAAGAAGCACCGGCUAACUACGUG
rnacentral:rRNA from 1 species